rnacentral:rRNA from 1 species
UACGUAGGUGGCAAGCGUUGUCCGGAUUUACUGGGCGUAAAGAGCGCGCAGGCGGUCGUUCAAGUCGCGUGUGAAAGCCCCCGGCUCAACUGGGGAGGGUCACGCGAUACUGAUCGACUCGAAGGCAGGAGAGGGAAGUGGAAUUCCCGGUGUAGUGGUGAAAUGCGUAGAUAUCGGGAGGAACACCAGUGGCGAAGGCGACCACCUGGACUGAUACUGACACUGAGGUGCGAAAGCGUGGGGAGCAAACAGG